UGCUAAGUGCCAAACACCAAGGGCUUUGCCUGCACCGACUCCUUUAACGGUGCCUGGUACCGCCCCUGGCGGGGGGUGGGGGUGCGGUUUCAGCAUUCACCUUGUGCACAGGAGGAGGACUGAGGCUCGGAGGGAGGACGUGCCCGGCUGGGAUUUACCCAGCCAGGAAGUGACAGAUUCGGGAUUUAAGCCCAGUCCAAGAUUCAUCCGCAGUUCCCUUGAAAAACCAAAAGGGAGCCAUGUAAGGGCAGGUGAUGGCCAUCAGGAGUGUCAUGAACCCCGAUGAAGCUGUCUCUAGGUGACCCCAGGUCCCCCAAGGAGCCUGAAGAGACCACAGCCACUGACCACGGCCCCAGGGGACCCUCCCGGGGUGGACAUGGCUCUGUCCCAGCCGCCCUUCUCUCGUGCGUGUGAUGGGAUGAGACACGGGGUCAGGCGGUCCCCACCAGCCAGACAGUAGGGGGAUAAAGUUCGGAAGAGGUCACAGGAAGCUAGAAAGCCCUGAGAGAAAAUAGAAGACUUGAGUUUCAGCUGAGUUUCUGCUGCUGGCCACCGGGAGAGUCCUGACUGAUAGAUGUUGCUCAGUGAACACACGGUGACCAACUAACUGAAUAUUGAGGGCUCUGGUACUCUCUUUAGGUUUGGGGGUGAUUUUGUAUUAAGGGCCUCCCUUCCCUGUGGGCCCGUAGGGCCGGGGAAAGCACGCUCUCUGUUCUCCCCACCUGCAGGCCCUGGCAACCUCGUCCAAGGUUCCUUCCAAAGGAGGAUGAUAGGAUCCACUCAAGGCAGGAGUGACCCCACCCGGAAGCUGAAUCCCUCUGUUCCUCUCCCUGACUCAAACCUCCCCAACAGGGAAGCUCGCCUGCCUCACUGAGAGAGAGAAGCAGGGAAAGGGACUCAGUGCAAGAGUCCUAGGAACAGGCCAGGGGUCAGUGCCUUUAUCAGUCCCAUUUUACAGAUGAAGAUCCUGAGGCCCCGGAGGUCCAGUUACUCAUCCUCAAAGCUCAAGCCCCCUGAACAGAAUUCUGUUCUUGCCCCCCAAACAUUGCUUCCUCUCCCUUAGCCAUUUUCCAUCUGGUGUCCUCAUUUUUUCUGGCUUCCUUGCCCUCUCAAGUCUAGAUACUCUAAUUCAUCGCAAUUACUCAUUCCUCACUCAUAAAGAAUGUUUGGCAACUCCUCGGUUUGUGUCUUUGCUCCAUGUGGCAGAAGCUGGGUGUCCUUGGGCCAAUAUCUUUACCUCUCGGGGCCUUGGUUCCUUCACCUAUGGCAGUGGAGAUGGCAACACAUGCUCUUCGGCUUUUUGUAAGAACUAAGUAAGUUAAUACAUGUAAAAUGCUUAAAACAGUAAGCCCUUCAGAAGUACUCAAUAAAUAGCAGCUCAUGUCAUUUUUUUCUUUUGGAAAUCAGAUUGUGUUGUAUGUCUUAGAAUGAAACAGAAAAAGCCCCCAAAUAAGUAAAUAAAUGACAAAACUUUGAAAACCA